rnacentral:rRNA from 1 species
CCUACGGGUGGCUGCAGUAAGGAAUAUUGGUCAAUGGACGCAAGUCUGAACCAGCCAUGCCGCGUGGAGGAUGAAGGUCCUCUGGAUUGUAAACUUCUUUUAUUUGGGAAGAAACUCCCGAUUUCCAUCGGGAUUGACGGUACCAGAUGAAUAAGCACCGGCUAACUCCGUGCCAGCAGCCGCGGUAAUACGCAGGGUGCAAGCGUUACCGGGUUUAACUGGGUUUUAAGGGUGCAGAGAAGUCAGUGUUGAGAUCUCCGGGCUUAACCCGGAAACUGCCAUUGAUACUAUUUGUCUUGAAUACUCUGGAGGUGAGCGGAAUAUGUCAUGUAGCGGUGAAAUGCUUAGAUAUGACAUAGAACACCCAUUGCGAAGGCAGCUCACUACGGAAAUAUUGACGCUGAGGCACGAAAGCGUGGGGAUCAAACAGGAUUAGAUACCCCUGUAGUC